AGAAGGAUAAAGGGGUGCUAGACUGUAGUCUAGCUGAGAUGAGACCCUCAACACCUGAUCCGGGUAAUACCGGCGUAGGGAUUUUCCACCAUAGACAG
rnacentral:ncRNA from 2 species